rnacentral:rRNA from 1 species
CACGUAGGGUGCGAGCGUUGUCCGGAAUUAUUGGGCGUAAAGAGCUCGUAGGCGGUAUGUCGCGUCUGCUGUGAAAGACCGGGGCUUAACUUCGGUUUUGCAGUGGAUACGGGCAUGCUUGAGGUAGGUAGGGGAGACUGGAAUUCCUGGUGUAGCGGUGAAAUGCGCAGAUAUCAGGAGGAACACCGGUGGCGAAGGCGGGUCUCUGGGCCUUACCUGACGCUGAGGAGCGAAAGCAUGGGUAGCCAACAGGAUUAGAUACCCUGGUA